rnacentral:lncRNA from 1 species
GUCUCGACUCCGGUUCGCCCCCUCACCUUCGCCGGCGUCGUUCUUCCUCCUCCGGCCACCUUUUUCUUCGAUUCCAAAGGGAAUCCUGCUCUCCUCAGUCCCCUCUACACGUCUGUGGUGGUGAUUCGUCGUGGGAAGCACCGUGCACAACGCUACAAGGCCGAGAAGUCUCACGGUGGAGCUGUAGAUCGCCUAGAUCGGAGAUCACGUUUCCGGCCACCAUAGCCGGUGAUCCUUGGGGGCUUUUGAAUCCCAGAGGACGUAGAUACUCUCCACAAAACGGCUUGCAACGAUUCAACCUAUAGAGGUCG